AUGUCAGAGAGCUACCAUGCAUUGAUGGAGCUAGUGGUGGCCCGGGGGAGUGUAGAUGGGCGUGCCGUACUCUGGCGGGCACUCUGGCGCCGGCGGCGCUCCGUAUUCCGGCGCCGGCCGUGGGUACGCCGGAGCGGCAGGCGUCGGUGUUGGCGUCCCGUAGACCGGCGUGGGGGUGGGAGCAGGGCACUCGCACCCCGGUGCCGGGGUCGGCGUGCACAAGCAUCUCGGCGAUGGAGUACCGUACACGGGCGCCGUCGGUGGAGCGUACACCGGCGUGGGAGGAGGGAGCUCCGGCGUCGGCGGCGCCACGUAGACCGGCGUGGGGGUUGGAGUUGGGCACUGGCAUCCGGGCUCCGGGGUCGGGGUGCACAGGCAGCUCGGCGAUGGAGUUCCGUACACCGGCGUCGGGGAAGGACAUUGGCAUCCCGGCUCCGGAGUAGGGGUGCACAUGCAUCUCGGCGCCGGAGUCCCGUACUCCGGCGCCUGAUCGGGAGGGCAGUCCGGCGUCGGCGUCCCGUACACAGGCGCCGUGGGCGGAGCGUAUACCGGCGUCGGCGUCCCGUACACGGGCGGAGCAUACACCGGCGUGGGCGUCCCGUACACUGGCGCCGUGGGCGGAGCGUACACCGGCGUGGGCGUCCCGUACACUGGCGCCGUGGGCGGAGCAUACACCGGCGUGGGCGUCCCGUACACGGGCGGGGCGUACACCGGCGUGGGCGUCCCGUACACGGGCGGGGCGUACACCGGCGUGGGCGUCCCGUACACGGGCGGGGCGUACACCGGCGUGGGCGUCCCGUACACUGGCGGAGCGUACACCGGCGUGGGCGUCCCGUACUCCGGCGACUCCGGAGGGCAAUCCGGCGUUCCGCACUCCGGGGCUGGAGGCGGGAAGUAUUCAGGCACGGGCGUCCCGUAAACCGGCACGGCAGAAGGGCAUUGGCACCCGGGGGCCGGGGUAGGGGUGCACAGGCACGCCGGCACCGGCGUCCCGUACACGGGCGGAGCGUACACCGGCAUGGGCUUCAUGCGCCGGUGCGCGAACAAGGGCUUCCUGCCGAACCCGUGGCACGGGAAGCAGAUGUUGGCCGCCGCGCACUCGGGCGCCGCGGCCGAAGUCCGACCUCGCGUCGCCUUGCCGGCGACGGCGACGAAGGUGCCCUCGCCCUCGGCCAGCAGCGGCUCGAUCCUCGACGGCUCCUGCCCGGGGCACGGCUCGCCGCUCGCCGCGCUCUGGAGCUGCGCGAAGCACUCGGAAUCGGAAGCGCCGCGCACGCCGAGGCCGGCGUCGGCCGGGAGGGGCACGGCGAAGGCGCCCGUGCCGUCGAGGCUCGCGACGGCCUUGCUCUCGUAUUCACCGCCGCCGCUGUCGUUGCCCUUCUUGCACGUGAUGGCGACCAUGAGGCCCUUGAACGCCGCCUCGGCGCCCAAGCUCUUCCUCCCGCAGCCGGCGCACUGGGCCAUGCCGACGACGACGACGACCGACGAGUCCCCGCCGCCAGCGUCCGCCUCAGCGACCGCCAUCAUCAGCGCCCCAGCGCAGACGAUGAGAACGCGGAGCAGCAGCCUCCCUCCACCUCCUCCUUCCAUGGCGCCCAUCUCCACCUAUCUAUCUACCCGCUGAGCUUCUGCAACAACUACAAGUGA
rnacentral:rRNA from 1 species